CCUUCGAUAGCUCAGUUGGUAGAGCGGUGGACUGUAGCGGUUUUCUGACUCGUCAGAACAGAUAUCCAUAGGUCGCUGGUUCAACUCCGGCUCGAAGGA
rnacentral:tRNA from 1 species